UGACUCUCGGCAACGGAUAUCUCGGCUCUUGCAUCGAUGAAGAACGUAGCGAAAUGCGAUACUUGGUGUGAAUUGCAGAAUCCCGUGAACCAUCGAGUCUUUGAACGCAAGUUGCGCCCAAAGCCAUUAGGCUGAGGGCACGCCUGCCUGGGUGUCG
rnacentral:rRNA from 1 species